UACUUAGGGUGCGAGCGUUGUCCGGAAUUAUUGGGCGUAAAGAGCUCGUAGGCGGUUUGUCGCGUCGGCUGUGAAAACUGGAGGCUUAACCUUCAGCGUGCAGUCGAUACGGGCAGACUUGAGUUCGGUAGGGGAGUCUGGAAUUCCUGGUGUAGCGGUGAAAUGCGCAGAUAUCAGGAGGAACACCGGUGGCGAAGGCGGGACUCUGGGCCGAUACUGACGCUGAGGAGCGAAAGCGUGGGGAGCGAACAGG
rnacentral:rRNA from 1 species